rnacentral:rRNA from 1 species
UACGGAGGGGGCGAGCGUUAUUCGGAAUUAUUGGGCGUAAAGGGCGCGUAGGCGGCCCGGUAAGUCAAAGGUGAAAUCCCUCGGCUCAACUGAGGAACUGCCUUUGAAACUGUCGGGCUUGAGGCCGGGAGGGGGUAGCGGAAUUCCCAGUGUAGCGGUGAAAUGCGUAGAUAUUGGGAGGAACACCGGUGGCGAAGGCGGCUACCUGGACCGGUUCUGACGCUGAUGCGCGAAAGCGUGGGGAGCAAACAGG